GGGUCGUGGCUGUACUGUUAGCUACUGUCUACCAUUCACAACUUGCCAAAGUUGUCUUUCGAGGAGGGGAUGUGGUUGGUGUGACAACUCAGGAAAAUGUUUACCUGGUACAGCAUAUAAAACAGACAUUGGGCAAUGUCAAUCUUGGUUUUAUUACAACUGCAUUAGUGUUGGAAGAAAUCCGUCUUGCUCUAAUAAUAUCAAAGUGAGUG